rnacentral:rRNA from 1 species
AUGGAAUUAAGUUUGUCUCAUACGCUUCAUCUUUUUAAUAUCUUUCGUGAGUAUGAUGGAAAGGAAAAUUGUGCUCAAGUUCUAGAGGAAGAAGUCUAUAAAAUGUUUGGCACUAAAUCUUUGAAUGAUGAGCAUGAUUGCAAUGUUGUUAGUACGAAUUCUUUGAAUAUCCAUGCAAGCUUGGGGAUGCUAUGUUUAAUGAAGAUGAUACUUUUAGUCUCCCAAGUUUUGAUAUGCAAAUUUAUAAUGAUGGUAGCAUGCCUCCUACCUAUGAUGAUUAUUGUGAUGAUACUUAUGCUAUAA